AGACAGGGUCUUGUUCUUUCACCCAGACUGGACUGCAGUGAUGCGAUCAUAGCUCACUGCAGCCUCGAACUCCUUCGCUCCAGAGAUCCCCCCACCUCAGUCUCUGGAGUAGCUGGGACUACAGAAGAAGAGAUUGGGACAUAGACACACACAGAGGAGGCCACGUGAGGACAGAGGGAGAAGGUGCCCCCACCUCAGAAGAAACCAACCCUGCCGACACUGUGAUCUUGGACUUCCAGCCUCCAGAACUGAGAAAAUAAAUGUGUGCUGUUUAA